rnacentral:tRNA from 1 species
UUUUAUUUAUGUAGUUUAAAAAAAACUUUACAUUUUCACUGUAACGAUAAAAAAUUAUUUUUUAUAAAUU